GGACUACAGGGGUAUCUAAUCCCGUUCGCUCCCCUGGCUUUCGCACCCGAGCGUCAGGUACCAGCCAGGACCUUGCCUUCGCCCUUGGUGUUCCUCCGGAUCUCUACGCAUUUCACCGCUCCACCCGGAAUUCCAGGUCCCUCUCUGGCCCUCCAGUCAGGCCGUUUGUGCGCUUCUUGGGCAGUUAAGCCGCCCACUGUCCUCGCACACGCCCCUGACCGCCUGCGUGCCCUUUACGCCCAGUAACUCCGGACAACGCUUGCCCCCUACGUAUUACCGCGGCUGCUGGCAC
rnacentral:rRNA from 1 species